rnacentral:rRNA from 1 species
AUUGAACGCUGGCGGCAGGCCUAACACAUGCCAGUCGAGCGGCAGCGGGUCCUUCGGGAUGCCGGCGAGCGGCGGACGGGUGAGUAAUGCCUAGGAAUCUGCCUGGUAGUGGGGGAUAACGUUCGGAAACGGACGCUAAUACCGCAUACGUCCUACGGGAGAAAGUGGGGGAUCUUCGGACAUCCCGCUAUCAGAUGAGCCUAGGUCGGAUUAGCUAGUUGGUGGGGUAAAGGCUCACCAAGGCGACGAUCCGUAACUGGUCUGAGAGGAUGAUCAGUCACACUGGAACUGAGACACGGUCCAGACUCCUACGGGAGGCAGCAGUGGGGAAUAUUGGACAAUGGGCGAAAGCCUGAUCCAGCCAUGCCGCGUGUGUGAAGAAGGUCUUCGGAUUGUAAAGCACUUUAAGUUGGGAGGAAGGGCAGUCAGUUAAUACCUGGUUGUUUUGACGUUACCAACAGAAUAAGCACCGGCUAACUUCGUGCCAGCCGCCGCCGUAACAC